AGAAGACUCCAGUACAAACAACACACACCAUGUUCUCUACAUCUCUACUGCUCCUGCUGGCAGCUGCUUCUUAUGUACAUGGUGAGGAACUGACUCAGCCUGCUUCCAUGACAGUCCAGCCAGGCCAGAGUCUCUCCAUCCACUGCAAGGUUUCAUAUUCAGUUACAAGCUAUGGUACAGGUUGGAUCCGACAACCUGCAGGAAAAGCUCUGGAGUGGAUUGGAUACAUCAAUAGUGGUGGGAGUACUUAUUACAGUGACAAACUGAAAAAUAAGUUCAGCAUCUCCAGAGACACUUCUACUAACACAAUAACAAUUGGAGGACAGAACAUGCAGACUGAAGACACAGCUGUGUAUUACUGCGCUCGUCACCACAGUGAGACAGAAUAGUGGAUUCCUCUUACAAAAACCUUAUGAGACAUGUUACACACAUCCUCUCAAUGCAACUAAUAAAUCAUCUCAG